rnacentral:rRNA from 1 species
UACGGGGGGGGCAAGCGUUGUUCGGAAUUACUGGGCGUAAAGGGCGCGUAGGCGGCCUGCUAAGUCGGACGUGAAAUCCCUCGGCUCAACCGAGGAACUGCGUCCGAUACUGGUGGGCUUGAAUCCGGGAGAGGGAUGUGGAAUUCCAGGUGUAGCGGUGAAAUGCGUAGAUAUCUGGAGGAACACCGGUGGCGAAGGCGGCUCACUGGUCCGGUACUGACGCUGAGGUGCGAAAGCGUGGGGAGCAAACAGG